GACGAACGCUGGCGGCGUGCUUAACACAUGCAAGUCGAACGAUGAAGCCGGAGCUUGCUCCGGUGGAUUAGUGGCGAACGGGUGAGUAACACGUGAGCAAUCUGCCCUUGACUCUGGGAUAACUGCGGGAAACUGUAGCUAAUACCGGAUACGACACCUUGGGGCAUCCCAGGGUGUGGAAAGAAUUUCGGUCAAGGAUGAGCUCGCGGCCUAUCAGCUAGUUGGUGAGGUAAUGGCUCACCAAGGCGGCGACGGGUAGCCGGCCUGAGAGGGUGACCGGCCACACUGGAACUGAGACACGGUCCAGACUCCUACGGGAGGCAGCAGUGGGGAAUAUUGCACAAUGGGCGAAAGCCUGAUGCAGCAACGCCGCGUGAGGGAUGAAGGCCUUCGGGUUGUAAACCUCUUUUAGCAGGGAAGAAGCGAAAGUGACGGUACCUGCAGAAAAAGCACCGGCUAACUACGUGCCAGCCGCCGCUGUAAAAC
rnacentral:rRNA from 1 species